rnacentral:rRNA from 1 species
UACGGCGGGUGCAAGCGUUGUCCGGAUUUAUUGGGUUUAAAGGGUGCGUAGGCGGCCCGGUAAGUCAGUGGUGAAAGCCUCCAGCUCAACUGGAGAACUGCCAUUGAUACUGCCGGGCUUGAGUACAGACGAGGUUGGCGGAAUUGAUUGUGUAGCGGUGAAAUGCAUAGAUACAAUCAAGAACUCCGAUUGCGGAGGCAGCUAACUAGGCUGUAACUGACGCUGAGGCACGAAAGCGUGGGGAGCGAACAGG